rnacentral:rRNA from 1 species
UACGUAGGUGGCAAGCGUUAUCCGGAAUUAUUGGGCGUAAAGAGCGCGCAGGUGGUUGAUUAAGUCUGAUGUGAAAGCCCACGGCUUAACCGUGGAGGGUCAUUGGAAACUGGUUGACUUGAGUGCAGAAGAGGGAAGUGGAAUUCCAUGUGUAGCGGUGAAAUGCGUAGAGAUAUGGAGGAACACCAGUGGCGAAGGCGGCUUCCUGGUCUGCAACUGACACUGAGGCGCGAAAGCGUGGGGAGCAAAUAGG